GAGCCUCCUUAGGAGUCCGAGGCAGAGACUGGGCUCUCAGGGACCUUCUGUGCUGCUGGGACCGCAUGGCCCUUCCUUCUGCUGGCUUGGAGGCAGAUCGGCUGCGAGGAAAGCUGCAGUGGGGGAGAAAGGCUGCGUCAUGCCAGGCUAAGGACUGCUGGCAACCAGAGACCAGCCAGCAGCACAGACCAGAGUGGGCAGGAGCUGCCACAUGGCCAAAGCAUCUCACAGCCGGCAUGGGACCUGCUGCCUCCCUGCCACUGGCACCCUGCAGCACUGCUUCUCCUGGCAGCUCCCCCCCAGCGCCAGCAGCAUCACAGAGACCCAGCUGCUUCUGUGUUCCCCUUCACCUGCAGACACAGUGCUUAGGCAACAAGAAACCUCUGAAGCCAGGAGUGACCUGAGGGGCAAAAGUCCUCCUGCUUUAGCCCUCCUGGCCAGAUGAGAGCCAUCGUUCUGGUUCUAGAAGCAGCCUUGGAGGUGGAUCUGUUACAGAGGUGUGUGUUGGGGGUGAUAGGGGUGGGGCAUAGACCCUUGAAGCUGUUCUCAGAGUCCCACCUGGUGAUUUCACAUUUAGGCAUGGUCUGGAAACCUCCCAGUGGUACACAGGCUGUGAGCCCAUAAUAUUGCACCCACAUCCAAGAGCACAGGGCAGGUGGAAGGAAGUGUGGAAGGAAGCCCUAAGAGACAGCUCAGUGGAUGGAGCCAUCAGGCAGAUGGCAGUGGGGAGGUGCUUCCCUGCGUGCCCUGUGUGAAUGGAACUGCUGUAGCAUGGAGAAGGACAAGGAUCUGCUCUGAGGCGGUUCAGGUGGCUUGCACAGCAGCUAUGGUGGGGAUGGAAGCCUUGCAGCCUGCCCAGCUUGGGGCUGGGUAUGGCACUCGUCCAGCACUGGGGCUGCUGGCUGGGAAACUGAGGUAGGAGCAGAGGCCGCUGAGGCGAGAGCUCUGUUCCAGCACUGGCAGGAGGCCCCUCCAGAGGGGCAGUCCUGCAGUUUGGCCUCACAUCACUCACUUUUCUGUCACUCAGGAAGGAAAAGGGUGUAUG